UGGUCUAGUGAUUAGGACUCUGCAUUUCCAUUGCGGGGGGCAAGGGUUCGAUCCCUU
rfam:TPA: Bos taurus chromosome 2, whole genome shotgun sequence.